UAGCCUAAUAAAGCAUGUGAAUGUUACAACCCCACGAAUGUACCAGCCUAUCGCAUUAUCAGACUACUACAUUGAUUACCCGGAUGACGAGACGCUGACAUUCAAGGUCAAAGUAUGGGCAGAUGCGAUUGUUGUGCUUGUUCCAGAUGAAGGAUUUUCUUCCCUGUUCUAUGAAGUUGUUAUCGGUGGAGGUGGCAACUCUAGAGGUUUCAUACGUAAAAGGACGUUAUCUAAUUUAAAUACGAAAGUUAAUGUACUUGAAGAUAAUCAGCUUAAUGCUGAUGAGUACAGGUCGUUCUGGGUGAGCUGGAAAGGUGGUCAUAUUGAGGUUGGACGUGGACUUUCUGUCCGUAGUCUGUCUACACAAUACAUGGAAUGGGUUGACUCUAACCCUCUAGACAUCACUGCUGUGUAUGUAAAGAGUAUCGAUGUUGCCGAAUUUACGAUUUAUCGAAAGACAGAAAACCCAAGAAAAUACUCUGCCAAUGUAAAUAACAGAGCCAUUACUUCAUUGACACUUACAGUCGUUACCCGAUCAAGGUUAGAAUGCAGCAUUACCUGUCAUAAAGAAUUGAGCUGUAUAAAUUUUAAUUACAAAAGGUCCACUCGAUUGUGUGAAUUGAUGCAAGCCUCAAAGAUAAAUGCGAUAAUGAAAGAUCCGGAAUACAAUUUUUAUUUCUAAGACAUUGCCUCAUUCGGUAAAGUGAUUGAGGAACGCCUUUUGUCUUUUUUUAUGUCUAUUGAUUGUAAAAAUAUUUGUCAAUGCUAAAAAAGGUACACAUUAAAAGCACGUACUAUUUGAUUUGUUUUUGUUUUCUUUUACACCUUUAUCAUGUUUAUUUUAGGCAAUUGUUUUA